GGAUAGCCCGGCGAAAGCCGGAUUAAUACCGCAUGAGACUGAGGGUGAAAGCGGGAUCGCAAGACCUCGCGCUAUUGGAGCGGCCGAUAUCAGAUUAGCUAGUUGGUGGGGUAGGCCCACCAAGGCAACGAUCUGUAGUUGGUCUGAGAGGACGACCAGCCACACUGGGACAGACACGGCCCAGACUCCUACGGGAGGCAGCAGUGGGGAAUUUUGGACAAUGGGCGCACCUGAUCCAGCAAUGCCGCGUGCAGGAAGAAGGCCUUCGGGUUGUAAACUGCUUUUGUGGGAAGAAAUCCUCUGGGUUAAUACCUCGGGGGGAUGACGGUACCUGAAGAAUAAGCAGGCUAACUACGUGCCAGCAGCCGCGGUAAUACGUAGGGUGCGAGCGUUAAUCGGAAUUUGGGCGUAAAGCGUGCGCAGGCGGCUUUGCAAGACAGAUGUGAAAUCCCCGGGCUCAAUGGGAACUGCAUUUGUGACUGCAAGGCUAGAGUACGGCAGAGGGGGAUGGAAUUCCGCGUAGCAGUGAAAUGCGUAGAUAUGCGGAGGAACACCGAUGGCGAAGGCAAUCCCCUGGCUGUACUGACGCUCAUGCACGAAAGCGUGGGGAGCAAACAGGAUUAGAUACCCUGGUACCACGCCCUAAACGAUGUCAACUGGUUGUUGGACGGCUUGCUGUUCAGUAACGAAGCU
rnacentral:rRNA from 1 species